GACGAACGCUGGCGGCGUGCCUAAUACAUGCAAGUCGAACGCAGUGGGGACGGGUGAGUAACACGUGGGUAACCUCCCAUCAGAGGGGAUAACACUUGGAAACAGGUGCUAAACCGCUACUGAAGGAUGGACCCGGGGUGGAUUAGCUAGUUGGUGGGGUAACGGCUUACCAAGGCCACGAUGCAUAGCUGACCUUAGCGUGUGAUCGGCCACACUGGGACUGAGACACGGCCCAGACUCCGACGGGAGGCAGCAGUAGGGAAUCUUCGGCAAUGGACGAAAGUCUGACCGAGCAACGCCGCUUGAGUGAAGAAGGUUUUCGGAUCGUAAAACUCUGUUGUUAGAGAAGCGGUAUCUAACCAGAAAGCCACGGCUAACUACGUGCCAGCAGCCGCGGUAAUUC
rnacentral:rRNA from 1 species